GCUAAUCGGGUAUCUAUAGCAUGCUCCGAACACCUUGGCCCAGUUUUUCACAAAUUAUCGCCUAUAAAACCCCGGGGUUAUUUUUAUUUUUUUCUUAGAGCAAGCUGGCUACUAACCUGGCCAUGGAAUCCCAUUAUCGUGAAGCUUGCGUCUCAGUUUGUCAUUCUCUCGCUUUCCCUGGAAUAUUUCCUCCUGGUAUUCUAAUAUGGUCUCUUCCACUUGCUUAUAUAUAUCUUGGGCAGCUAACAUCAACUUUUCUGUCAAAAAUACAUUUAGAAAUUGUAAUUUCGUCAUUUUGAGGGUCGAUGGUAGCCAGGGUACAUUUACCCGCUAAACACAAGCGGAGAGGAAAGAGGCGAAGCGGGAGGUUCGACUCCGCCUAGAUUUAUAGCGUUAAGCACACAACGUGUCAAAAGCGACAAUCAUCAUGACUCCAACCGUUGGUCAUCCGGGCCUGUUUCUGAAGCAGUUGAAAGGAUCGACCUUUAAAAGCUGGGGGAGCUUCAGCUCAAGGUGGCGCAUCUGACUAAACUCGUACAAGUAAGAAGUGCAACUGCAACAGCUCUACCGGGCCAAGAACCACAGAGGGAUGAGGAGGACAGUGAACCCAUACUGCCACAACUUACACUUAUUUUCGGAUCUGACCUAGCCACCCAAUUAAAUUGGUGCGGGAGAGGGCAUAAAGACGCGACAUGUGAAGGACAUCAUAGUGGUGUCAGUUCUUAGAAAUGCAGCUCUGUUAGAAAUGACAGAGGCUGAUGUAGAGAAACCUGUUAAAUUGGCUCCGGCUGAGCCAAGACAGAGCAAAAGGGGGGCGAAACAAGGCCCAGUGGACUAAUGGAAGAGAGCAGAACAAGAAAGUGAUUAAAGGCUGUCGGUUCAAGUCUGCCAGCAGACUUUUGUUGAAUCCCAAACUAACCCCUUGCCACCACCAACUUGUUCCAUUGGCAUGGAUGAAUAAACCCUUCAACUUCGGGACACACCCGUGACUUGAAUGAAUAUAAAAUGUAGCUCUACUAUGAUGAGACUGUGAUGCUGAUAUGAGCCAAACUUUAAAAUGAGACUUUUAAUUACAAAGAUAUAGGCUAGUCAUGUUAGACAAAUAUGUUAACCAACAUUAUCGGCUAGACUUUAUCAACAAGGCGCGGUUUGUUAAGAUCAAAUGAUCUCAAGAACCGAGAGAAAGGGCAGUGCCAAUUGGCAUAGUACAGAGGGGGGGGGGGGGGGGUUAGGACGAGUCUAAGGGCCUAUGACUGACAGGGG